AGUGAACGCUGGCGGCGUGCUUAACACAUGCAAGUCGAACGCGAAAGGGGAGCAAUCCCCGAGUAGAGUGGCGAACGGGUGGGUAAUGUGUGGGUAAUUUGCCUUUCAGCGGGGGAUAACCCGGGGAAACCUGAGCUAAUACCCCAUAAUGUUGCUUGAUCUUCGGAUCGAGUAAUCAAACAAUGGCCUCUGCUUGCAAGCUAUCGCUGAAAGAUGAGCCCACAUCCUAUCACGCUUGUUGGUGGGGUAAUGGCCUACCAAGGCGACGACGGGUAGCCGGCCUGAGAGGGUGUCCGGCCACACUGGAACUGAGACACGGUCCAGACUCCUACGGGAGGCAGCAGUGGGGAAUUUUUCGCAAUGGGCGAAAGCCUGACGAAGCAACGCCGCGUGUAGGAUGAGGGCCCUAGCGGUCGUAAACUACUGUCUAGCGGGACGAUAGUAUUCGGAGUGAACAAUUCCGAAUAUUGACUGUACCGCUGGAGGAAGCUCCGGCUAACUCCGUGCCAGCAGCCGCGGUAAUACGGAGGGAGCCAGCGUUACUCGGAAUUAUUGGGCGUAACGGGCGCGUAGGCGAUCUAGCAAGUCUGGUGUGAAAGC
rnacentral:rRNA from 1 species